GAUGAACGCUAGCGGCAGGCCUAAUACAUGCAAGUCGAACGGACAUACGGAGCUCGCUCCCGUCGAGCGUGGCCCACGGGUGCGUAACACGUAUGUAACUUACCUAUCUCAGGGGCUUAGACUCUCGAAGGAAAGCGUAACUCAGCACAAAAUAACAGCACAGCAUCGUGUAUUGACCAAAUAUUACUAUGUUGAAGAUGGGCAUGCGGAACAUUAGCUCGAGGGCGGGGUAACGGAACACCAUGGCGACGAUGUUUAGGGGAUCUGAGAGGAUGGCCCACCAAGCUGGUACGGGGACACGGACCGGACUCCUACGGGAGGCAGCAGUAAGGAAUAUUGGUCAAGGGGCGGAAGCCUGAACCAGCCAUGCCGCGUGCAGGAAGACGGCCCUACGGGUUGUAAACUGCUUUUAUACGGGAAUAAACCCAGAUACGUGUAUCUGGCUGAAUGUGCUGUAAGGAUAAGGAUCGGCUAACUCCGUG
rnacentral:rRNA from 1 species